GGGCCCGCACAAGCGGAGGAACAUGUGGUUUAAUUCGAUGAUACGCGAGGAACCUUACCUAGGCUUAAAUGUAGAUUGCAUAAUUUGGAAACAGAUUUUUCCUUCGGGACUAUUUACAAGGUGCUGCAUGGUUGUCGUCAGCUCGUGCCGUGAGGUGUCGGGUUAAGUCCCAUAACGAGCGCAACCCUCAUCGCCAGUUGCCAGCAUGUAAUGAUGGGGACUCUGGUGAAACUGCCGGUGUAAACCGUGAGGAAGGUGGGGAUGACGUCAAAUCAGCACGGCCCUUAUGUCUAGGGCUACACACGUGUUACAAUGGCCAAUACAGUGGGCAGCCACCCGGCGACGGGGAGCUAAUCCAUAAAGUUGGUCUUAGUUCGGAUCGGAGUCUGCAACUCGACUCCGUGAAGCUGGAUUCGCUAGUAAUCGCACAUCAGCCAUGGUGCGGUGAAUACGUUCCCGGGCCUU
rnacentral:rRNA from 1 species